rnacentral:rRNA from 1 species
GAUGAACGCUAGCUCCAGGCUUAACACAUGCAAGUCGAGGGGAAACGACAUCGAAAGCUUGCUUUUGAUGGGCGUCGACCGGCGCACGGGUGAGUAACGCGUAUCCAACCUGCCCAUCACUUGGGGAUAACCUUGCGAAAGUAAGACUAAUACCCAAUGAUAUCUCUAGAAGACAUCUGAAAGAGAUUAAAGAUUUAUCGGUGAUGGAUGUGGAUGCGUCUGAUUAGCUUGUUGGCGGGGUAACGGCCCACCAAGGCAACGAUCAGUAGGGGUUCUGAGAGGAAGGUCCCCCACAUUGGAACUGAGACACGGUCCAAACUCCUACGGGAGGCAGCAGUGAGGAAUAUUGGUCAAUGGGCGAGAGCCUGAACCAGCCAAGUAGCGUGCAGGAAGACGGCCCUAUGGGUUGUAAACUGCUUUUAUAAGGGAAUAAAGUGAGAGUCGUGACUCUUUUUGUAUGUACCUGAUGAAUAAGGACCGGCUAAUUCCGUG